AUGCCGCUCUCCAGCCUGCUCUGGGUGCUCCUGGCCUUCUCCUUCCCUGGAUCUGGUGUGGCCCAGAAUGUUACUCAAAACCAGACAGUCAUAAUCAGUCAAGUGGGGAAGAUAGUCACCCUUAACUGUCAGUAUGAAAUUAGCAGGAAUGUGCAUGACUACUGGAUUUUUUGGUACCAGCAGCUUCCCAGUGGAGAGAUGACUUACCUCAUUCAUCAGUAUUCAGAAGACAGGAAUGAAAGGGAUGGCCGCUACUCUGUAAACUUCCAGAAAGCACGUAAAUCCAUCAGCCUCACUAUUUCAUUCUUAAAACUGGAACAUUCUGCAAAGUAUUUCUGUGCUCUCUGGGUACACACAGUGUUUGAGUUAAUAGGAAAAGCUGAACAAAAACCCCGGAGCUUAAUAAGAGAGAGCCCCCCUGCUGCAGGACCCCAGCUGAAAUGCACACCUGCAGACCUCAGACAAGAAAUGAUAGUCCUGUGGUUGCUUCAUCUGUGA